UACGUAGGAGGCGAGCGUUGUCCGGAAUUCCUGGGCGUAAAGAGCGCGUAGGCGUCACGGUACGACCACGGUGAAAGCCCCCGGCUCAACUGGGGAGGGUCCGUGGUAACGGCCGAGCUGUGAGUGCAGGAGAGGGAAGUGGAACUCCGGGAGUAGCGGUGAAAUGCGUUGAUAUCGUUCGGAACACCAAUAGCGUAGGCAGGCUUCUGGGUGCCACCUGACACUGCUAGGACGAAAGCGUGGGUAGCGAAUGGG
rnacentral:rRNA from 1 species